UGAAUUUUUGUUUUUCCCCUACCGUCUAUAUAGCUUGCUUAUACUACCUUGGACUACUCCAUCUGUCUGACGUUGACGGACACUUUGACUUUUUUUUCUUUCUUUUGAAAUAUUUAAAUAUCAAACAAAUCUCUAGGUCGUAAUGAUGGUUGACUGGAUGCUGGAUUAAUCACACAUGUUGCGGUGAAGAAUUUCAAUUAUUUUCGCCCAUUGCCUGAUUAAAUACGUUGUUGAUACUGUAAAGUCUUUUGUCCAAUAUAUCAGGGAAGACGCUUUUAGCCGAUGACUGAGAACAGGCCAUAAAUCCAUCGGCGAUGUGGGAUGGUAAGUUAAUUAUAUAUGUACUUUUAGAAGAGCGAAGGAGGAGCUAUUUCAGUGUGGGGACUUCCUCUGUGAGGGAUGAGAGAGAGUGAGAGAGAGAGAGAGAGAGAGAGAGAAGACGCGGGGCUUUCUGCGACUCCGCAACCGGAAAGGUUUUAAACAUCUCGGAAAAUGGCAUGGAACAUUUCAUUUCCUCGAGCGUCUUUUCUUUGUUUUGGAGUUGCUGACAUUGGAUGACUUCACCGACAACGCCUACCACAAGGCCAGCAGCAGACUCCUGCCGGGCCGAAAGAUUUGCUGGCCGCCGCCGCCGCAGCACAGUUCAAUAUAAUGUCAGCUGGGAGUUUGAUUGAAGAAAGAAAAGAAGCUGUUGGACGCAGGUGAAAAUCCUUGGCGGGAUUGCGAGGGUAAAGAAAGAAAUGAUCUGUAAACGCAGACAAAUUAUCUUGAAUUCAACGAGAAAAUCAUUUGA